ACCUGAAACAUUAACUCUGUACGCUCCACAGUUGUUGAGUGAUCGAGUAUUUUUUUUGCUUUUUCUGUUUUUAUUUCACUUUCUAAUUGUGAUGCUGCGUUUACAUUUUUAGUUUAGUCAGUGUGCUUUACAGUGAGCAUUGGGCUGAGUUUGUUGUCAUUGACUUGGGCAGUCUCUUGAGAAUGACUUGUUUCCACAGUCUCUUGAGAUUGACUUCUGGGUUCUGGGGCAGCCGAUGAGGAAUAGGCAGCCCCCUCCCUCCUCAGAUGCACAAUGGAUGUCUGACAGGAUUGCAGGAUGGGUCGUUUGUGAGAUAGUGGGUUCUCACUAUUUGCACCAGGUUUCAAGUGCUCCUGUUGCAUAGCCUUGAAUAUAUUUUAAGAGUUUGAGCACUGAUUCAAACCCUUUAUUCUGUUCAUCUGGUAAUCUGUUGCCAUAACAUAUUGUAAUAGUAUCUGUCGAGCAUGUAAACAACAUGGUCUGCCCAAUGUAGCUGCUUGAGAGUAACCAGGAUGGAUGUUCACUAAUGCAAAAUGUGAAAACAAAUAUUUAUAUUGAGCAACAGAUAGAGCCUUUUAAUGUGGUACAGCCAAACUACGUUACCUAUCAAUAUGAGAAUGCAGCGUAGUGGCUAGCCAGCUGUUUGUGCAGGUACUUAACUUAAAAAAAAAAGUUUAAGUAAGUAAGUUUAUUGGCCAAGUAUUCACAUAUAAGGAAUUUGCCUUGGUGCUCCGCCCACAAGUAACAACAUGACAUACAGUGACAGUUACGAAUGACUCAGAAAACGCUAAACAUUAAUGAUAAAACACCAUUGAUCAAGCAUGUGAACCAACAAAAUACCAGAUCAAAGGGAGGCUACAGAUUUUGCAAUGUAAAUAAUGCAAUGUAAUAAUGCAAUGUAAAUAAUGUGUAAUGAAACAUAAUUUGUUGGUUGUGCAGAAUGUUAAUCUUGUCCUUGAGAGAUAAUGAAUUUUUAAAUGAUUUGUACAAAGAAGUGUCGGAUGAUUUGUACAUGUUUUAUUAUUGGGUUAUUUUUAGAGCACUUCUGGUCUAUACAUUAUGUAAUCAGUUGAUCAAUGGAUACAUUUCCUUGCAGAACUAUUUGAUAAAUUAUAGCCAUCUAACAAAUGGCUUUAGUGCAUUUUUGAUUUCCAUAUUCCCUUGCGUAUAGGUGUGACAGCUGGUGCCAUCAUUUAUCUUAUUUACUUUGUUAUUCAAACAGAUUUUAUUUAUGAGACAAAAAGCAAUCUGCCAACAUUUGAUGCAGGAAGAGUGAUAAGAUUAUUUUUUGCUUUGGCUGUAUUGCAGUUUUGUUCAGGCUAUAAUGUAUUAUAUUAUCCUAUGCAACUAUAGUGCCAAUCAUGAGGAUGGUCUGGUUACUUGUAGGCUUUGAGGCAAAGUAAAGGGACUGUCCCACUUAGGCGACCACUGGUGACUAGGCUGUCGCCUGCAUGAUUGUGAGUAGUCUCCUCAGACGUCCAAAGAGUCGCCGUUGGAAUUUGAAAUGUUCAAAACUUUUCAGCGACUGUGGGCUUGUCGUAGCUUGUCUUCUCCUGAUGUAGGUUGUCGUAGAUUAUCGCCAAGGUGGAGUAGGUUGUCGCCAGGAUGACGUAGAUUGUCGCCGAUGCUGACUUCGGUGAAUUCCAUUGUCGUAGUCGCCUAAAAAGCGUGUAAGUGGGACAGGCCCAUUAGUUCAGUCGCCGUUUUUUUGGCGACCUGCUACGACUAUGACAGUCUCCUAAAAAAUCGCCUGGUGGGACAGGCCCUUAAGGAAUGAAAAAUAAAAUCUCCAAAACAGGAAGAAAAUCCCUUGUAAUGAAUAAAUGUCAGAAUUUUGUCUGAUAUAAUCAAAGAUCUACUUUUUUUUUAAAUAGAAUUGUGAAACCAAGCCCCCAAGCUAUCAUUAAAAAUCUUUGGAUGCUCAAUGACAUUCGAUAUAUUCAGUCGUUGCAACAAAAGGUUGUGAUGCUGUCUUCCUGUCAAAUGUAAUGUGAUUAUCUUAAUUUUAUUCUGUUGUAUUUACUUCCUAAUGAUUGAAUCAGUUUCAGUGGUAAAAGGAAACGUAAACAUUUAUGUGAGUAAGCAAUUUAUUGCACAAAAUGAAAGCAGUGCCACGGCUUUGCUUUUGCUUUGGAGAGUAUUAUCCAAGAUUGUUUUUGUGCCAUCAAUUUAGUUUAUGUUGCCAUAUUUUUGUACAUCAACAAGGUUCUGUGAUUUUUUUCUUCUUCUUUUUUUCCAUAAAAUGUUAUUUCCCAUAUAUUAUAAAUAACUGAAAAUAAGUUUUACUUUCUAAAUGUCUCAAUUUCUUUAGCAAUGCUGUUUUGGUUGAAGAUAUAAUCAGUGCAGAUGAUAUGCUGCCUUGCAAUUUGCUGGUUAUUUAAUGGAUAUUUCUGUAAGCAUUUGCUUGUUCUGAAACUUAAUUUGCCUCUAUCAAAUUAAUCAAGGAUGCAUUUGUAUAGCUAUACACCAAAUGAAGUUUCCUCCAUCCUUGCAGAGAUGAAUGGCAUGUACAUUUACCUUUAUUAGUAAUCCUCUCAGGGCUAGAUAGUUUUUAAUACAGAUAAUGGACUAGCUUUUAAUGGUGAUUAAUUUACUACAUGCAUUGGUAGUGGUGAUUCAUUUGCUACUUGCAAUGGUUGUUGCACUUGAAACACAGGUCUUUCAUGUAGAACAAAUGUGGCCAAUCUUCAAGGCUAAGAAUUAAAACAAAACCAUCAUAAAAUGGCUACAGUCUCUCAAGACUGACAUAUGCAGUUUCACACCUGGUAAAGUGAUGUAGAAAAUGUGUAUGUUGUGAUAUUGAGCAUUGUUAUCAAAUGUUUUCAUUUUAACUUUGGACUGUAUGUUUUCGGCUAAUUUGGCACUUAAUGGACUAAUAACGUUCAAAAUAGACUUAAAUAAAAUGUUGCACCCUUGUUGAUGGUCUGCAUAGUGUGGAUUUAUUAUAGACCCAUUGAAUAUGAUUAUAGCUUGCAUUGUGUACAGACAUAAAAUGCAAGAACUCAUCAAUGUCUGUGGAUAACCACAUUUGAAUGCUUUAUAGUUCUACAUGAUUGGCUUGAGUGAGGUCAAAAUGGUAAUGUACAGUGAUUGUGGUUGCUUGCUAUAUUUAUCUUGACAUGGUAAAAACCAUAAAUAGACACAAAGUACUUCCGUUUUGGGUCGGGACCCUUCACACUGAAAGUAGGGGGUGGAGGUGAAAAGCUGAUGACGAGAAAAGACGAGGACCAAUCAGGGCUGGCAACAAAUGACCUUAGGCAGGGUGGAGCCCUGGUUGGGCCAUUGUUGGCUAUGGAAGGUGUGAUCUAAAGAGGGAUACAAUGUGGUGAACUGUGGGUCUGGUUAAAUAACUAGGAUGGAGGAACAUCAGUCUGAAGAAGAGUCUUGACCCGAAACGUCGCCUAUUCCUUCAUCCCAUAGAUCCUGCCUCACCCGCUGAGUUUCUCCAGCAUUUUUGUCUACCUAGGAUGGAGGAACAGGACAAGAGAGGAGUGUUAAUAGGAGUUACUUAAAAUUAGAGAAUUCAAUGUUCAGAUCGCUAGGUUGUAACCUGCCCGAGCGAAAUAUACGAUGCUGUUCUUCCAAUUUGUGUGUGGCCUCACUGGCAAUGGAAGAGGCUCGGGACAGACAGGUCAGAAAAGGAAGUGGAAUUGAAAUGGAUGGUAACCAGGAGAUCUUGAUGGCCUCAGUGGACACAGUGCAAGUGUUCAGUGAAAUGGUCGCCAAGUCUGCGUUUGAUCUAGCUGACCUACACCAUGAUUAAAUCCAUGUUAUCUUUUCAGACAACAUGUUAUCAUGUUGGUUGAGGAUCACAGCAAGGAUGGAUUUCCUGUGGGAUAACGUGAGAGGUACUCGUAUGAAGGACAGAGCUGCAGUUGAGGAGUUUUUCCCUCAUUGUUCCUUCCAGCCAGUGCUGAUUGCCUGUCCUUCCUUUAAAUGUACUAUCACUGCCUUUUCUAUCCAUCAUUUGCUCUUUAGGUCACAAAUGUCAUGUUUGAUAUUGGUCUUUAGGUGCCUGUAGUGCUAUUUCUCGCCUGUAGUGCUGUUUCUCAUCCACUGCCAGGUAAAACCAAUGAGAAUUACUUCGAAUUUUUGUGCCAGAUUUUAGAGAUAAAGAGAUAUCCGACCAUUCGGCCGACCAAGUCCGCAGCGACCAGCGAUCACCCAGUAUACUAGCACUAUCCCACACACUUGGGACAAGUUCCCCUACAUUGUACACUUUCUGUUCAGAAUGUACUUCCUUUAUGCUAGUCUGUACAUUUCUCUACAGUUGCAAAGUAACCAAUACUAUAUGAUGAGUGUUACUUCAUUGAUUCUUGAUAUUUGGCUGUCUCUUUGUCAUUAGUAUCUUGAACUUGGCUUCCCAAAUAGUACAAGAAAGUAAGUAAAUUGAUGCAUUGCUUUAGGGUGGAAUGCCAGAUAUUUCUGCAGGCAAUGUUAACCUCCUUUGCCUGCUAGCUAAUGGAACUGGAUUCUGGUUUGUGACUUGAUGGAAAACGUAAUUAAAUCCUGUAUCUAGACCUCUCUAUUGAAAUGUUUUCACAGUUGAGCUCCUUUUGAACUGAACAGCUUUGUAAAUUCUAACCAACUGAUUAGUUUAUUUUAUAAAUGAGGCAUGUUGCACUCUGAACAAAUAGCAUUUCAUUUGUAUUCAGAUGUUGCAAUGGGGCCAAGAAUUUGGGGUCUAAUUUUCUCAUUUAGAGUUGUAAGUCCCAAAUCGAAUGUGGGUUUAUGUCGUCUUGUUUUCAAACUGUCAAUCAAUUUUUGUUUAGCAGAAAGCAGUUAUAUGGUGGGUGAUGAAGGAAUCUUCGUUCUCUGUUGGAUAAUGUAAUAAUGUCAUUAAGCCUCACAGUAUGUUUCGUGCAAAAUAUCUUCUUGGAUUUUGCUGGGUUUGGCUAGCAGAUCCAUGUGGAAAUGAAGCAUUUUAAGUGCUGGCGCGUUUGUGCGUGCUUGACUGGAAGUCUGAACUUUCAGGCAAUCUCUUUAUUUAUAGUGGAGAUUUGUGAAAGAGAUUAUGUUGCAAUUUUGUUUAAAUUUUAAUUGUUUUCAGAUUGAUUUUCUAGUUUAAAAAGUAAAGAUGUUUUUGAAUAGAAUAUAAACUCUUAAACAUUGACACUUUUGGCAGAUGACAAAGCCAUAUCUGUGGCUUUGCUGUAAAAAAAAAAUCAGGAGCUUCAGGGGUGGAGCUCUUUCUGGUUUGACUGGGUCUUAUUUACAUUCCAAGGAACCUCAGCACCAUGCCAAGCCUCUACUCUUGCAUUACCUCAACCAACAAGAUUACCUUUUAAAAUGUGGGCAUUGCAAGAGGCACAGAAGUAUGGAAAUGCAUGCCUCCAGAUUCGGGGACAAUUUCUUCAGGCAACGGAGCCAUCCGCUUACCAAUUAGACAGUGGUCCUGAUCUCCCACCUACCUCAUCAGAGACCUUUGAAUUGUCUAAUUGGAAUUGACUGGACUUUAUGUUACGCUAUCAACAACCUGAGAGCGGUCCUGAGCUACUAUCUACCUCAUUGGAGACUCUCAGAAUAUUUUUAAUCGGACCUUACUGGACUUUAUCUUGCACUAAACGUUAUUCUCUUUAUCAUGUAUCUGUACACUGUGGAUGGCUCAAUUAUAAUCAUGUAUAAUCUUUCCGCUGACUGGUAUGCAAUAAAAUCUUUUCACUAU